ACGGUCUCAGAGAAUAGGUGGCUGCGACUGUUUAUUAAAAACACAGCACUCUGCAAAGUCGAAAGACGACGUAUAGGGUGUGAUGCCUGCCCGGUGCUGGAAGAUUAAUUGAUGGGGUGAGAGCCCUUGAUCGAAGUCCCAGUAAACGGCGGCCGUAACUAUAACGGUCCUAAGGUAGCGAAAUUCCUUGUCGGGUAAGUUCCGACCUGCACGAAUGGCAUAACGAUGGCCACACUGUCUCCUCCCGAGACUCAGUGAAGUUGAAAUGUUUGUGAUGAUGCAAUCUACCCGCGGCUAGACGGAAAGACCCCAUGAACCUUUACUGCAGCUUUGCAUUGAACUGUGAACCGAUUUGUGUAGGAUAGGUGGGAGGCAGAGAAGAGGCCACGCCAGUGGUCUUGGAGCCGACCUUGAAAUACCACCCUGAUUUGUUUGCGGUUCUAACCACGGACAGUGAUCCUGUCUUGGGACCGUGCAUGGUAGGCAGUUUGACUGGGGCGGUCUCCUCCUAAAGGGUAACGGAGGAGUACGAAGGUACGCUAGGUACGGUCGGAAAUCGUGCUGAUAGUGCAAUGGCAAAAGCGUGCUUGACUGCGAGAGCAACAACUCGAGCAGAUGCGAAAGCAGGUCAUAGUGAUCCGGUGGCUCUGAAUGGAAGGGCCAUCGCUCAACGGAUAAAAGGUACUCUGGGGAUAACAGGCUGAUACCGCCCAAGAGUUCAUAUCGACGGCGGUGUUUGGCACCUCGAUGUCGGCUCAUCUCAUCCUGGGGCUGUAGUCGGUCCCAAGGGUAUGGCUGUUCGCCAUUUAAAGAGGUACGUGAGCUGGGUUUAAAACGUCGUGAGACAGUUUGGUCCCUAUCUGCCGUGGGCGUUGGAAGAUUGACGGGGGCUGCUCCUAGUACGAGAGGACCGGAGUGGACGCACCUCUGGUGUACCGGUUGUCACGCCAGUGGCAUUGCCGGGUAGCUAAGUGCGGAAGAGAUAACCGCUGAAAGCAUCUAAGCGGGAAACUUGCCUGAAGAUGAGUCUUCCCGGAGGUUGAACCUCCCUCAAGAGUCGUCCGAGACCAGGACGUCGAUAGGUCAGGUGUGUAAGCGCUGUAAGGCGUUGAGCUAACUGAUACUAAUUGCUCGUGAGGCUUGAUCCU
rnacentral:rRNA from 1 species